rnacentral:tRNA from 1 species
GUAGGUGUAGCUUAAAGCCAAAGCGCCGGUCUUGUAAUCCGGAUAAGGAGGUUGAAUUCCUCCCCCCUACU